rnacentral:rRNA from 1 species
CCCUGCCAUUUGUACACACCGCCCGUCGCACCUACCGAUUGAAUGGUCCGGUGAAGUCUUUGGACUGGCGACAGCCCUUGAGGUUGAAGCUGGGAAGUUGACUAAACCUUACCAUUUAGAGGAAGGUG